rnacentral:rRNA from 1 species
CCCUUAGACGUUCUGGGCCGCACGCGCGCUACACUGACCAGUGCAACAAGCAUCCGUCCUUGGCCGACAGGCCCGGGCAAUCUUUGAACGCUGGUCGUGAUGGGGAUAGACUUUUGCAAUUUUUGGUCUUCAACGAGGAAUUCCUAGUAAACGCAAGUCAUCAACUUGCAUUGAUUACGUCCCUGCCCUUUGUACACACCGUUUGUUGCACCUACCGAUUGAAUGGUCCGGUGAAGCCUCCGGAUUGGCGCGCACCUCGGUGCCGCCGAGAAGUUGGCUAAACCUUACCAUUUAGAGGAAGGUGAAGUCGUAACA